GACGAACGCUGGCGGCGUGCUUAACACAUGCAAGUCGAACGGAAAGGCCCUGCUUUUGUGGGGUGCUCGAGUGGCGAACGGGUGAGUAACACGUGAGUAACCUGCCCUUGACUUUGGGAUAACUUCAGGAAACUGGGGCUAAUACCGGAUAGGAGCUCCUGCUGCAUGGUGGGGGUUGGAAAGUUUCGGCGGUUGGGGAUGGACUCGCGGCUUAUCAGCUUGUUGGUGGGGUAGUGGCUUACCAAGGCUUUGACGGGUAGCCGGCCUGAGAGGGUGACCGGCCACAUUGGGACUGAGAUACGGCCCAGACUCCUACGGGAGGCAGCAGUGGGGAAUAUUGCACAAUGGGCGGAAGCCUGAUGCAGCAACGCCGCGUGCGGGAUGACGGCCUUCGGGCUGUAAACCGCUUUCGCCUGUGACGAAGCGUGAGUGACGGUAAUGGGUAAAGAAACACCGGCUAACUACGU
rnacentral:rRNA from 1 species